UACGUAGGGUGCGAGCGUUAAUCGGAAUUACUGGGCGUAAAGCGUGCGCAGGCGGUUGUGCAAGACAGAUGUGAAAUCCCCGGGCUUAACCUGGGAAUGGCAUUUGUGACUGCACAGCUAGAGUGUGUCAGAGGGAGGUAGAAUUCCGCGUGUAGCAGUGAAAUGCGUAGAUAUGCGGAGGAAUACCGAUGGCGAAGGCAGCCUCCUGGGAUAACACUGACGCUCAUGCACGAAAGCGUGGGGAGCAAACAGG
rnacentral:rRNA from 1 species